CCAGACGGCCGGACGGUCGCUGCGCGGGCCCGGCGACGGGUUUCGCGUGGAGGAAAGUCCGGGCUCCAGAGGAAAGCGGUGCCGGCUAACGGCCGGCGGGGGCGACCCCAGGGACAGUGCCACAGAAAACACACCGCCCGCACGGGGCCGGUCGCCUGUUCGCAGGUCCGGCUUGCGGGUAAGGGCGAAACGGUGCGGCAAGAGCGCACCGCGCCGGCGGCAACGCAGGCGGCAGGGUAAACCCCACCGGGAGCAAGACCGAAUAGGGGCGACAGGCGGGCGUGUCAUGCGCCGCGCCAGGGGUGUUUCCGCCCCCGUUGCCCGGGUUGGUCGCGCGAGGCGCGCAGCGAUGCGCGUCCCAGAGGAAUGACCGUCCCGCAGCGGUGACGCUGCGGACAGAACCCGGCUUACAGGCCGUCUGGCACC
rnacentral:RNase_P_RNA from 1 species